UGGCUCAGUUGGUAGAGCAUGGCGCUGGCAAUGCCAGGGUUGUGGGUUUGAUUCCCAC
rfam:Salmo salar isolate Sally breed double haploid chromosome ssa24, whole genome shotgun sequence.